rnacentral:rRNA from 1 species
GUUAGGAAUAUUGGACAAUGGGCGCAAGCCUGAUCCAGCCAUGCCGCGUGAGUGAUGAAGGCCUUCGGGUUGUAAAGCUCUUUAGUCCACGAAUAUAAUGACUGUAGUGGAAGAAUAAGCCCCGGCUAACUUCGUGCCAGCAGCCGCGGUAAUACGAAGGGGGCGAGCGUUAUUCGGAAUCACUGGGCGUAAAGCGUGCGUAGGCUGUUUUGUAAGUCAGAAGUGAAAGCCCAGGGCUUAACCCUGGAAUUGCUUUUGAAACUACAAGACUCGAAUUCGGGAGAGGAUAGCGGAAUUGUCAGUGUAGCAGGGAAAUGCGUAGAGAUUGACAGGAACACCAGUGGCGCAAGCGGCUAUCUGGACCGAUAUUGACGCUGAGGCACGAAAGCGUGGGGAGCAAACAGGAUUAGAAACCCGUGUAGUCC